rnacentral:piRNA from 1 species
UGCCAGGUGAUGGGAAUAAGUAGAAU